rnacentral:lncRNA from 1 species
GGGUCAUUAUUGUUAGUAGUUGUUACUAAUAAAUUAAUUUAACAAUAAUAUGUUUGUUAUGAUUUGAUCUUUAUAUUAAGCUUGAUUCUUAGAGGAUUUCUUUUCCUCCAAUAAUUUGUUAUUUAAUUUUUUUAAACUGGAUUUAGAUUUGGAUUGGGUUGGGUUGGAUACGACCGAAUCCAACCCAGCCCAGACGCACCUUAAUGCCAGCAAAUGAAGUAUUAAUUAUUUGCCAUCUUUAUCUUUGUCUUCAUUUUUAAGGAAAAAGGAGCAAAUUUAUUGGCAGUGGGCGUCACGCGGUUUACUCAGCCCUCGGUCUAGUCAAUUGGUGCGU